UACGAAGGGUGCAAGCGUUACUCGGAAUUACUGGGCGUAAAGCGUGCGUAGGCGGUUAGUUAAGUCUGUCGUGAAAGCCCCGGGCUCAACCUGGGAAUGGCGAUGGAUACUGGCUCGCUAGAGUGCGGUAGAGGAGAGUGGAAUUCCCGGUGUAGCAGUGAAAUGCGUAGAGAUCGGGAGGAACAUCAAUUGCGAAGGCAGCUCUCUGGGCCAGCACUGACGCUGAGGCACGAAAGCGUGGGGAGCAAACAGG
rnacentral:rRNA from 1 species